UUCCAGGCCGAUUUCCAUAUGAAAGCAACUGAGAUCUCUCCCCAUUUUGGAAUUCCAGGCAGCACCCUGGGCUCCGACUUCUCAAAAUUACACAGCCCAACUUUCCCAACCCCCACAUCCCAGCCUGCUGCAACCUCCUCCACUCUGCUUCUUGGCCACUCGAUUUCCAGCCCUACCAGAACAGGACCAUGGCCACAAGAGAGCUGCGGUGAACUCAGCCCAAGAGCAACCGCUUCCUGUUUCUCCGAGGCCUGUGAUGUCCCCGAGAAACAGCCUGGCCAUCACUGCCGACACAGCCCUAAGCAGAAACACAUGUGCACGCCUCUGCCUCAGAAUCCAGUGGCCUUAAGGAAAUGGAUCUCUGUGGAAGACUGAAGGAAGAAAAACUGAAUCAGCUGCACACCGCUUGCCGUGAAGACACGUUAUUGUCCUGCAUCUGGCCUGGGUAAUGAAUUCAUACACAGAUGGGUGACAACAAGGAAGAAGAGUUUAAGUAUUUCGACAGUGUUAAUAUUGAUCACAGAAUAGAUUAAGAGACAGCCGGGAGGAAUUUCUUCACGGGAUCAAAUUCUCCCUCUUCCCCCAGCACCCCGGAGACAGCCAGCAGCCAUAGACACCAGCAUUUAUCAAUGCAACAAUUUCGACUCUCGAGCAGAAAGCCUCCCAUCUCAGAGAUUUUGCAUCCAACAAAUCACUGCAUUUUGUCCUUAAAUUCAACAUUUUGGCAGGAUUGUUGGACUGUGGGAUAAGGAGAUGAAGAAUUUUCAAGCCAGGAUUUCCCACCCCCAGCUGCUGCACACUGAACUGCGUUGUCCACGGAGAGGUGGUGAUGAUUAAUCACGUCCAGUUCCCGGGGACCCACUCUGCCCAUCCCCCUCCCUUCCCAUUCACUCCCCCUCUCCUAGGCUUCUAUGACAGUGAGAAUGAUUUACUGACUAGUUGAGGAUAACAGAUUUCAGGUCUUAGGUCCAAUCUGCUUUAGUGUCUUUUAAAUAAACAGACCUGGCCUUGCCUUGGGCACUCACACCAUUGCCUUUUCCGAGGCCUUUAUCCAGAAUGGUUUGUCUCAGUUCCCAGACCUUUUUUACUUCGCUUGGUCCCCGAUCCUACAGCCUUAAUGCUGUGACCUAGUUCAUGGACUUGCUUCCCUCACUCUGACCUCUGACUUCCCUUCUCAGCCACCACUCUCCCGUGUCCUGUUGGACAUUUUGUUUGGAGGCUCAGGGGAAAUGCCCUGCUGGGUUCUCAUUGGUUGCAGGGCUGGAACCCCAACUCCCAGCCAGCUUUGGCUGUGCUCUGAGAAUUGCUAACAAACAAGGAGGAAGAGGGCUGUGGUUUGCUGAGGAUCUACGGCAUGCCAAGUGCUGUGCCAAGGAGCUUUAUAUAUGUUACCUGAUCCUCACAGCAGUUAAGCAGCACGGCCCCCAAUGAGCCUUUGCAGCAGCUGAAGCUAACAGAGUUGAAAGAACUUGCCCAAGGUCACUCAGCACAGGUGGUGGAGGGACUAGUAAAAGCACACAUCUACCUGCUUUCUGUUGUCUGGCUUUGCCCUAUAAUCUUAAUCUCAAUCAUAGCAGCAUCUCCUAAGCAUUUACAUCUGUUAAACUUUGUGCCAAAUCAAUUGUAUAGAGGGAGUGCCAAACAUACAUGAAAAAUUGGAAUUAAAAGAUGAAUGCAUUUUGGUGCAAAAUUUUUAGUCUAUGCCUAGGUUUUUCAUAAUAUGCAUUUUUCAAAAACUUUUUAAAAAAGAGAUUUCUUUAUUUGAACAGCAAAGUGAGAGACAGAGAGAGAGAGAGAGAGAGAGAUCUUCAAUCUGCUGGUUCAUUUUCCAAAUGGUGGCAACAGCCAGGAGUUGGCUAGGCUGAAGCCAAGAGCCUGGGACUCUACCUUGGUCUCCUACAUGGUGGCAGGGGCAUCUUCCGCUGCCUUUCCCAAGCACAUUUGAUUUGCAGGGAUCUGAGCUUGAGCUGGGUCUUGAAUCAGCACCCAGAUAUGAAAUUGCCAGCAUUGCAAGCAGAGGUUUAAUGUGCUGCACCACAAUGCCUGCCCUCCAUGGACUUCUGGAAAAUUCUUCUAGGCAAGGAUUUCAAAAAUUUUUUGUGCCCACAGAAACUUUUCUUUUAGUCCUAUUUUCCACAAACUUAUUUUGAAGCACUCUUGUAUUAUUUUCUUACACUUCAAAACACUGAGAUUAAUUCACCUACCAAAAAAAUCUACCCUUUAAAAAAAAUUCAGUGUUUUUUUAAAAAAUGCAUCCACAUAGUUCUGCAACCAUUGCCAUUACAUUCCAGAAUAUUUCCUUUGUCCUCCUAGAAAGCUACAUUAUCCAUCACCAGUCACUCACAACUUCCUUCUCCCCAGUCCCUGACAACCUCUUGUCCUCUUGCUGUCUCUAUGGUUUGCUUAUUCUGAACAUUUCCUACAAAUGGAAUCAAACAACGUGUGUCCUGUUGUAUCUGGCUUCUUUCCGUUAGCAUGGUGUUCUCAAGCAGUAGCAUGUCUCGGUAUUUCAUUCUAAACUGAUUCACGGACAGAUUAAAGGAACUUUAGGUCAUGUCCUAGGAAAGGUCCCCAAAUACAAUCUCUUUGCAUUUGUUUUUCAAUUUAAGUUGCUUACUGGCCAUCCUAUAUAGGACAGGACCUUUCACCAAAGGAUGAAAGAUCUCUCUCUCUCUCUCUCUCUCUCUCUGACACACUCUCUCAAAUACAUAAAAAUGAAUAAAUGAACAUGGGAUAGAGGGGAAAGCAUGAUGCGAGGCACAUCCCACCAGGUUUCCCCCUAGGCCGUGGUCACCCAUAAGGUCUCACUGGUCUCCAUUUCAAAACCCUGCCUCUCAGCCUAGCUCCAGAAGGCUUCCCUCAUCCAACCUCAGCCCUCCAGUGUUCCCCUAGAGCUCAGAAGUUUUUCAGCACAACCUAGGGCCAUGGUGUGGCAGGGGAAGUUGUUGAAGAGAAGCAGCGUUUUCUAAGGGGGCAUUGGAUCACACUUCUCAAUAUAUCCAUUCAGGUCAGUCAGAGCUGGGGGGCAGGAGCAACAGUGUUUCCUUCCCCUGGAGGGAUUCCAAGGCCCAGGUGGUCAAUGGAGGAUAAAAGCAUAAGAAUUAAAGAACAAGUCAGGGGUGGGAGUUGUGGCAUAGUGGGUUAAGCCACUUGGGAUGUCCACAUCCCCUAUCAGAGUAUCUGGGAUUAAGUCCUACCUCUGCGUCUGAUCCAGAUUCCUAUUGAUGUAAACCCUGGGAGUCCUACAUGAUGACUCAAGUACUGGUUCCUCCCAGCCAGCCUCAUAGGAGAUCUGGAUGGAGUUCCUGGCUUCUGACUUUGACCUGCCAUAACUGGGUGUUGUAGAUCUCUCUCUCUCUCUCUCUCUCUCUCUCUCUCUCUCUCUUUCUCCUUCUUUCUCUGUCACUCUACCUUUCAAAUAAAUAAAAAUGAAUAAAACAAAAUUUUUAGAAGAGUAGGCUAUAUAUUAUGGUGGUGACUUUUUCAAUCAACAAAACUAUAUUUUAUGCUGACCUGCCGUGACUUCAGUUUACUUCAAAUAAUAAAAUUGCAGAGCCUACAUAAUACAGCAUACAGCCCAGUUCCUUGCCUUAAGGUCUUCCAUUCAGAGUGGGGAGCUAGAAAAUGCACAGGGGAAGUCCCUGGCCAUGGUAGGUUCUGCACACUCUGUCACACACUGGUGUUGAUGGUAGAUGUCAGAAGAAUGAAUGACCAUUGUGGCAGCAGGCCUGAAUCCAUCUCUCUACUGGAAGAGGAGGCUUUUGAGAGAGGCUGAGACUUAGGGAAACAGUCAAAAGGAGAUACAUGCAGAGAAAACACCAAAGGAAAAGCACAAAGCUAGGUCUAAGUUAGAUACUGUUGGACAAAGUCAUGUUGGCUGGCUGGAGUUCAAAGUAUCCUGGGAGGAGACUAAUGAGGGAAGUGGGGUUGGGCCCAUGGCAGCACAAAGAAUAAGGACUUUGUUCAGUAAGCAAGCAAAAUUCAGACCUGGGGAACUCUGGCAGGGUCAAACUGAGCAUGAUGCUUUCUGUUGGCAAAUCACAUCAGGUAACUGGGGAAAAGUGUUCUGACUUAUGGCUCUCUGAAAGAAUGGCUUGAACCUAGGGUAGGGCUUGCUAAGGGUGGCAUGUCCACAGAUAACUGGAGGAUGUUAAAUAAAAUGCAGGUAACAGGAAAGCACUGAGAGUCAACCUCAGAUAGGCUGGUGCAAUGACCAGUAGGGUGAAUUCUGAAUGCGUGAGGGACAGGUGGAUGUCACUACUUUGGGUUGCCCAUUUGGGUGGCCAACUCAGGGAUGUGGGUUCAGGAACAAGGAUUGACACACUGAACUAGCGUCUAGAACAGACUGUGCCUAUAUCUGAGUUCAAGAAAUUUGUCUGGAAUUCAGCUCAAAAUCUGGAUGAUUCAGAAGGUCCACUUAUCAAAACUGUAUGAGAAAUUUUUAUUCUGAUGAUAGCUACCAUUUAUUGGACUCUCAUGUUCAGGGUACAAUAUGUAUGUGAACUUCUAAGUUCAUGAUCUUAUACUUCAAGAAACUGUUCAGAGAGGUUGAGUGGCUUGCCCAGUGUCACACAGCUGGCAAGCAGAUGGCGAGACUAGGGCUCAGUCCUUGUGCAGCUAGCAUCAAAGCCCUUGCUCCCUCCCUCACGCAUACUGUGGGUGAAUAGGUUUCCAGAUGUUGUGUUCACAGAGAAGCAUCUGUGCAUAUUUUCAUCCCAAUCAUCCUAUAUUUGACUUCUUAAUCCAUACAUGAGGAAUACAACACAGUCCUGGUUAUAUUUCCUUGCUUUGGCCUAAUACGGGAAUACCAGGCUGCAUUUGAAUACUAGGCAGACUGGAGCUGCUUCUCAGAGCUUUGAGCAGGAGUUCAAUCAGUGGUCUCCAUUUGUAUCCAUGAAUCUGAUGCCACUACUGUUUGGCUGAAUUUUUCUGUAGUUGCCCAACUAUCUUGUGCUAGUAUCUACUGUAAUAUUUAAGGUUAAUUUUCAUAUAGGAAAAUGUCAUCAUUUCAAGCAGAAAUCCCUCUUUUAAUUUUAUAGCUUUUUCUGCACCCAGGCCUUUUGGUUCACAAUAUUCAUUGUGAGGAGUAAAAGCAUGCAUGUGUGUAUAAGCAUGUACAUGUGCUUACAUGAAGGUGUACACACACACACACACACAUUCAACCUUUGUUAUUGGAAAAGAGCAAGCAGGAAUAGGGAGUGGGACUUGGUCAGUCCCACAAAAACCUCUGCCCGUCUGAUGAGGCCCCUGGGGAGGCCAUGCUGAGGGGUGGGGCACCAGGGUGGAGGAGGGCUGCCCCCUGACCUUUCCACCCAGGAUUCUGGCACCAAAUUUUACAUUCCAGGCAUCCUCUCGGAGGGCACUGCUUGGGGUAUGAGCCUGCUCACAUCAGGCCGGGAAAUUUCAUCCAUAUGUUUCUGAUUCAUUUACACUCAUAAAAAUGUGAUUUUUAAGAGCAAUGUGACAUGCAAUAAGCUUUCUAGGCUGUCUCUCCUGCUCUGUGUCUCUGUUCAGUGGAGAAUUUUGCCAAAAGAAAACCAAUUCAGACUGCAAGCUCCUCAACCCCAGAGGCAGAAACGGCAGCGAGGCACAUCCAGAGAGCCCCAGCCAGCAUGAGGCGACUCCCAACAAUACACCAUCAGGCUGAAACUGUGCCUGAGAUCUGGCUUCUGCUGUUCCCCGGGGAGCCCCAGUUCAAUAUCCCAAUGAUAAUGAUGGCUUUCUUUCCUUGCUAUUUUUAUUUUCUCUAUUUCUCAUCCUUUCAUUGGCUCUUAUUACCCUAGGAACAUUGAUUCUUCAGCUCUGCUUACCUCUCCCAAUACUUUGCAGGCAUUAUUGUAUCCUUGUUCCUUCAGAUUAGCCUGUCUUGAGCCAAUCCAUUUACUUCCUUUUUUUUUUUUUUAUUUUAUUAACGGAGAUGUUGCAAAUUGCCUGAAAAUAGUGGAGCUCUGUUUCAUUUUCAAGUCCUUAUUGUGUUUUGGGCUAUUUGGCUCAAGGUCUGUGUCUCUUGGCCUCCAAUGAGUUUACCUUGCUCUGCCAUUAUAGUACACCCAGUCUAUUGUGUUUGUCUUUCUUGUUUAAUUGCAUGUUCCUGUUUGGUUUUCCUCUUUGCUGCUCUUAGAGAGAAAAGAACUGAGCAAUGCUGCUCUAUCUUAAAGGAAAGUUAGAAGCUUUGGAGGGUCCCAGAUCUGUGGAUUAAUUCUGAUCUCACCACUUCCUGGGCUUCAGUUUCCUAUUCUGUCUGGUGAAGAGUCAUCUCUCAGAGUUGCUGUAAGGAUUUAAUAAGAUUGUAUCAUACGUGGCCCUGGGUCCACAUGGACUAGCAUAGUUGCCCAGCACAGAGGGGCCAUCUCAUGUUGUUGGAGUCCAUGCCCUUCGGCUCAAAGCCAUGGGCACAAACCUCCUGUUAGCAAGUCAGGUGUACCACGUAGUGCAGUGAAGAAAACUCAUGCCCUGGGGAUCCAUGGGCAGCUCAGUAACAAGAUGUUCAAAGGAGCAUCUUAUAGGAUGUCACUUUCAGCUAAGUGAUUUGGUAGCAGGUGAGGGGGAUGCUAUGGAAGUGGGUCUGAUGCUGUUGAAAAGUUGGGGAUAAUUCUGGUUGGGUAUCUUUUUUAAAAAAUGGUUAAAAGGCUUAUUUAUUUAUGCAAAAGGCAGAGUUACAGAGAGGGAGAGGCAGAGGCAGAGAGAAGUCUUUCAUCUGCUGGUUCACUUCUCAAGUGGCCACAAUAGAGCUGGCCCAGGCUGAAGCCAGGAGCCAGGAGCUUCCUCUAGGUCUCUCACGUGGGUGGAGGGGCCCAAGGACUUGGGCCAUCUUCUGCUGGUUUCCCAGGCACAUUAUCAGGGAUCUGGAUUGGAAGUAGAGCAGCUGGAUCCUGAACCAGUGCUUAUAUGGAGUGCUGGUGCUGCAGGUGGCAGCUUAACCCCCUAAACCACAGCUCUGGCCCCCGAUUGGAUAUCUGAAAUAAAACUGAUCCAAAAAAAGAGCGACUAGAAUGAGGAUAAAACUGUAAUUGGUGAAUAAGGACUAGUCAUGUGUUUUGGCACAAAUUUGAGAGUGUUUGGUUUUGUGCAUGGCAUAAUGACAUUGCUUGUCUGUCCUUAGACACAGUUGUGAAGUGUAUCUUACUUUGUCUUCUUUUCCAUGAUCUCAAAGUAUGAGUGUUUUGUGAAUUGUGAAUUGUUCAUGUCCAGUGGCACAGUAGCAUAGUCCAGCUAUGAGUGCCAGGCCAGUUUUGGAAUGUGAGUUACUUUUCUUUUUUUUUCUAAACAAGCUUCUCUUCUUCUAUCUCUAUGUUAGAGGGAAAGCAAGCUGGUGAGCUGACCAGUUUGCCUGUGAAGAAGUCAAAUUAGAGUAUGAGCAGUUCACAUGUCCCAGUGGCUGGGACAGGGCAUACAGAGGGACAGAACAUCACAGCAGCUGUAGAGUACAGAGCAGUCUAGCAGCUGGAGGGGGAAGCUGAGCUCAGUCUGCACAUGCUGGAUCCAAGCUGAGUGGAGGAGACCAACAAAAGGUUGAAAACCCCUACAGACAAACAGCAGACAUAGGGAGAUAAAGUGAGAGGCCUUAGGGGAUGGAACCUUGGACAAGCUUUAUGAAGCACAGGAACAGAGAGGCAAGGACUUUAUUAGAUGUCUUUGCCUCAUCUAAUCAUGAGAUGAAACUCUUCACAAGGCUGAAUCAAUAUGGAUAAAGAUGACUAUUAAGAAACCACAGGGGCGUGGCCGGUGCCGUGGCUCACUAGGCUAAUCCUCCACCUUGUGGCGCCGGCACCCCGGGUUCUAGCCACGGUCGGGGCGCUGGAUUCUGUCCCAGUUGCCCCUCUUCCAGGCCAGCCCUCUGCUAUCGCCCGGGAAUGCAGUGGAGGAUGGCCCAAGUACUUGGGCCCUGUACCUGCAUGGGAGGCCAGGAGAAGCACCUGGCUCCUGGCUUCGGAUCACCGCGAUGUGCAGAGCGCCGGCCGCGGCAGCCAUUGGAGGGUGAACCAACGGCAAAAGGAAGACCUUUCUCUCUGUCUCUCUCUCUCUCACUGUCCACUCUGUCUGUCAAAUACAUAAAAAAGAAAGAAGGAAAGAAGGAAAGAAGGAAAGAAAGAAAGAAACCACAGGGGCCAGAGCUGUGGCGUAGUGGGUCAAACAACCUUCUGCAGUGCUGGCAUCCCACAUGGGCACUGGUUCUAGUCCCAGUUGCUACACUUCCAAUCCAGCUCUCUGCUAUGGUUUGGGAAAGCAGUAGAAGAUGGCCCAAGUCACUGGUCCCCUGCACUAGCGUGGGAGACCUGGAAGAAGCUCCUGGCUCCUGGCUUCAGAUCAGUUCAGCUCCAGACUUUGCCGUUAUUUGGGAGUGAACCAGCAGAUGGAAGACUUCUCCCUCUCUUUCUGCCUCUGCCUCUCUGUAACUCUGACUUUCAAGUAAAUAAAUAAAAUCUUUAAAAAAAACCCUUUUCCCCUCUGAAGUAGAUGAUGUUUCUCCCUAAUACUCUAAGUUGCCAUUUAAUGGUGAGGGAGGGUUGACCAGAUGAUUGAUAUUCUUAAAUGUGAUCUGUUUGUUUGCUACUCCCCCUAAAACACAUUUAUUAGGAUUAAUACAUUAUGAUAUUUAUGCUUCUGGAUGGCUAUCCUGAUUUUACUGAAAGGUUGGUGUUGGUGAGAAAUCUUUCCCACCCUAAAUCAUAAAGAUGACUUCUCUCACCUUUAGCAAGUCUCAGAGUUUCCUAGUCAAUCUGCUGCAAUGGUUUGAUUGUGAUUUGUCCCCAAAGAUUCUUGUACAUUGGUCCCCAGUGGUAGCAAUGUUGGGGUGGCAGAGCCUGUAAUGGGUUGGGCCUCUCCUUGCAAUUUUUCCCUUGUGCAUGGGGCUGUUUCUCUUUCUGCUUGCCUGCCUGCCUUCCUUCUUUCCUUCCUUCCUUCCUUCCACGAUUUAUUAGUUUUAUUUGGAAAGAAUUAGAGAGAAAGAGAGGGAGAGACAGAAAGGUCUUCUAUCCACUGGUUCACCACCAGACACCCCUCCACCACACCAGAUGGCUACCAUAGCCAGGGUUGAGCCAGGCUGAGGCAAGGGGCCAGGGGCUUCUUAUGGGUCUCCCACAUGGGUGGCAGGGGUCCAAGCACCUGGGCCAUCCUCUGCUGCUUUUCCCAGACCACCAGCAGGGAGCUGUAUUGGAAGUGGAGCAGCUGGGACACAAACUAGCACCCGUAUGGGAUGCUGGAAUUGCAGGAGACAGCUUUACCCACUAUACUAUUUUUUUUGUUGACAGUCAGAGUAGAACAGUGAGAGAGAGACAGAGACAGAGAGAAAGGUCUUCCUUUUUCUGUUGGUUCACCCCCCAAGUGGCCACUACGGCCAGCGUCUUGUGGCCGGUGCACUGCGCCGAUCUGAAGCCAAGAGCCAGGUGCCUCCUCCUGGUCUCCCAUGUGGGUGCAGGGCCCAAGCACUUGGGCCAUCUUCCACUGUCUUCCCAGACCACAGCAGAGAGCUGGACUGAAAGAGGGGCAACUGGGACAGAAUCCAGUGCCCCAACUGGGACUAGAACCCGGGGUGCCAGCGCCGCAGGUGGACGAUUAGCCUAGUGAGCCAUGGCGCCGGCCCCCCACUAUACUGCAAUGCCAGCCCCUCUCUUUCUGAUUUUCCACCAUGUUGUAAAGCAGUCAAGGAGAUCUUUGCUAGGAUGCUGGCACCAUAUUGUUUGGACCCUCCAACCACUAGAAGUAUGAGUCUAAUAAACUUCUGUACUCUGUAAGUUACCCAGUCUCAUGUAUUUAGUUAUAGUAACACAAAAUGUACUAAGACACCUAUUAUGUUCUCAAAGGAUACAGCUAUUUCUUCUCUACAUGAGUCAUAAUUUAUCAUCUCCUUGGUAUGCCUGCAACUGGAAUUUAUUUUUCUUAAGUUCAAUGGCAAGAAUUGUUCUUUUCUUGGCCCACCUAUAGUCAACGCUGACUGUUCCUAUUCUGGGCAGAAAAGACAGUAAGUAGGCCACUUCUGGCUCCAACAUCCUGUGAGCCAGUGUCUGCCUUAGUUUCUCUACAAGUUUUUAGUUUUUUUCUAGAUUAUUAAUUUUAUUUCUGAUAAAUAAGCCAUGUUGAUUUUUCUGAUACUUACUAGACAACAUGGAAUUCCAUUAGCCUGCUUCUUCAAAUCUUUCUUGCCUAUUAGAUUUCUUGUCUACUGUGAGAAAAUUGGUCCUUGAUCUCAAAUCACUGAUUUGCAAUGACCACCAACUUCAAGACCUAAUCUUAAUCUUGAGUGAGUUCUGUACCUCCCCUAGUUCAGCCCAACUUCUCUUCUUGAGUGCCUACACUCACCAACAACAUCGUGCCAAUGAGAAUGAGGGAGAAGAAGAGAAUAUGUCUAGUAGAUCAUGAUCUGUACUAUAGAACAUCCUGAUUGGGGGAGGGGCAGCCCUGUUGGAAGGUUUUCUGGUUUGUCAUGAGAACUUAAAGUGGUUCUCAAGUAUGAUAUGCAUUCUCCAUUCUACAAGCAGAGUGAGCUUUGAAACAAAACUGCAACCCUGUAUUCCUACUUCAAAUCCAUCACUGGUUCUAACUGAUUGUGGAACGAAGCUCUAAUUCUAAAGUGUGAGCUCACCUCUCUGGUCUACUCUUGAAUAACUAAAUGGACACAAGUCAUCCUGAGACUUAUCUUCUUCCUCUGUACAAUGGGAAUGGCAUUACUUGCCCAUCCUCUUCUGCAGUGAGGAUGAAAUGUCAUCAGACAUAUAAAAUAUAAACUGCUUUCAGAAGUAAGGAACGAUAAUCCACUGUGCAAUACAUAUCUGUUGAGUGGAUGAAUGGGUUGCUUCUGUUACUUUCUUCCCCUUUGAGGCCCACCAGAUGGGGAAGGAGGCAGAGCCGGAGGGGAGAUCAUUUCUAGCCCCUUGAAUAUGAGGCGAUUCUGACACACAAUCUGGGACCAGUAUGUUUAGCCCUGGCUUUCCUUCUCUUCAAGUGUCUUUAUUGUAUCCAUCCAUAAAUCCAGCUGUGGAAGAACCACUUCAAAAAAGCUGUCCUCAGCAUAUAUCACCACCCCCCGAGGAGGGGAUGUUCUGUGAAAUUAAAGAAAUAAGUAUAGAUUUUUCUAGAAGGGGAGAAAAAGGAAGGACUUUCACUUUUAUUCAAUUAUCACUUCAGCAGCUGUCUACACGACUUGGAAAAUGCCCUCACAUCUCUCAGUGGAUUCUCCGUUGUCAAAAUCCCCCCUUCUCACUGGCUGACAGAGACGGGGUUUAGUGCCAACAGCAUUUGAUGCUGAAAUGCAGACCAGGGACGACAUGGAACUCUCUUACUCCACAUUCAUCUCUUCAUUAUUUCUGACAUAGAUAUUACAACGUCGUCACAGAUUUAAUAGAGGAUAAUGGGAAUACAGUUCUAAAGCAUUAGGUGUGAUCUCGAGUGACUGUAGUCUAAACUUUUAAUAUAAAGCAGAUAUUCUGCAUGCGAAGGUAAAUGAGCAGAAAUCCAGCCUCACACAAUGGACAUCACAAAGGCAUCACCUUCACAAUAGGGAGUGAGAAAUGAACUUUUCAUUCCUGGAUAUGAUUGACAGCUUUUUGUGUCCAUUCAUGGCUGCACAAAUCCUGGUGUCAUAGCAAAGAACAUGAAAAAUUUUUCUAACAGCUGUGAUGGAGACUUUGAGGCAUGAAGUUAUAGAAGUUUGAAGUCAAUUGUUUCCAAAAAUGCAGAGCAAAAUGAAAUAAUUUUGCACCUUGCUGUUAGUCAAGAUGUUUUCUUCCAAGGCGCCUUUUUUUUCUACCCAGUGGUAUCUGCAUGAUAUAUAUCUUUCCAACAGCCACAGGUGUUAGGUAGCUGUUCCAAGGAUUUCUCUGUAAAUGUUUCCAGCAGGGCUCCAUUAAACUAAAGAAACAGGAUAAAAACCACGGAAGUUGCCCGACUUCCCAGCUCCUGGCCACUCUGGUGUCCUGGAACUAACUUACCUUUCAUCUGUUUUUCCUUCUCUUUUUGCCUUUCAUGUAAAUUUUACAUCUGGACAUUCCCUCUUUUCCCAAUUUCCUCUGGGAUUAGGGAUUCACAUCUGACUCUACUGGUCUCUAACUUCACUGCUAUUCCCUUGACUUGAUUUUUCCCAAAUCAGUCUCCCUGACCCUCAUUAAAUGUGAUAUGCAGCACCCAUUGCCCACUCCUGGGUCUCCUAGCACCCCUCCCAGGUGACUGGGAGCCCUGCAUGUCCUUCUGGGGGAUCAAGGGUUGAGCCCUGGGGAGAGAAAGAUAAGGUCCAGGCCAGCACCGCGGCUCAAUAGGCUAAUCCUCCACCUAGUGGCGCCAGCACACCGGGUUCUAGUCCCGGUCGGGGCACCGGAUUCUUUCCUGGUUGCCCCUCUUCCAGGCCAGCUCUCUGCUGUGGCCCAGGAAGGCAGUGGAGAAUGGCCCAAGUGCUUGGGCCCUGCGCCCCAAAGGAGACCAGGAGAAGCACCUGGCUCCUGCCUUUGGAUCAGCGCGGUGCGCCGGCCGCAGCGCGCCAGCCAUGGUGGCCAUUGGAGGGUGAACCAACGGAAAAAGGAAGACCUUUCUCUCUGUCUCUCUCUCUCACUAUCCACUCUGCCUGUAAAAAAAAAAAAAAAAAAAAAGAUAAGUUCCAUGAUAUAUGGAUAGAAACUGGUGCUCACAAAAGUCUUAGGAGUAGACCAGGAGCCAGUAACUCCAUCAUAGUCUCCCAUGUGGGUUGCAGGGGUCCAAGUACUUGGGCCAUGUGUCAUUGCCUUCCCAAGUACAUUAGCAGGAAGCUGGAUCAAAAGCAGAGUAGUUGGGACUUGAGCCAGUGCUGUGAUAUGGGAUGGCUGCAUCACACAGCAGGGGUCAAGCAGCUGUGCACAAUGCUCACCCAUAAAAAGGGUAAAAUAUUGAAACUACAAGAAAAUAUACUGUCAUAGGGAAAAAGCAAGAGGAAGAGGGAGGGGGAAGAAGGAAUAAAAGAAAGAAGGAAGGAAGAGAGGUAGGGAGGUGGAGGGAGGAUGGAAGGAAAGAAAUAAGAAGAAAAAAACCCAACAUUUGCAAAAUUAUCGUGGACUAUCUCAAAAUGAUUUUUGCAAAUCCAUGUGCUCUGUAAUAGAACUGUAAUGGAUUUAGUAAGCUUGCAAGUUUGUAAUGGAUCAAUUUCCCAUCUAUUUUUACAAUAAAAAUAGUUCAUAAAUCAGUAUUUCCUAUGAUGCUGUUGAAUUUCAUUUUUAUUUUCUGAGAGGAAUGGAUUCAACUAUGAACUUAUGGGAAAAAUAAACCAAUUGUCUAACACUGGACUGGUGAAUCCAAGCUGCAGAAACACUUUGUUUUUGUAAUUGCCCUAUUCCACUGAACACUCAAGGCUUGCUAGUAAAAAAUACUAGUGAGCGAAGAAGUGAAGAAAUUUAGAUUCAAAGGAGUAGAAGCAGAAAGAGUAGACAAGAUUGUGUUAAGAUGUUAUGGGCAUGAGGUAUAUGGGGACUCUUUGCACAAUUCUACAAUUUUUGUUUUGUAAAUUGAAAGCUAUUUAGAAAUAAAAAGUUAAAAUAAAGACUGGGUCCAAGCCAGGAGAGUUGUUACUGAUCUGAAAGCCUUGAUGGUGUCAUUGUAAUGAUUACUGUUUACUUGGCUCUUAUUCAUGCCAAGUCAUUUACAUGGUAUUUUUAAUUUUUUACAGUAAUGAUGCAAUGUUACUAGUAUUCCCACAUUUUGGGUUAGGUGCAAGAGUGGGAGUAAUUUAUCUAUGAUUAAAAAGUUUCUGUCAGGCUGGCGCCAUGGCUCACUAGGCUAAUCCUCCGCCUGCGGUGCCAGCACCCCAGGUUCUAGUCCCGGUUGGGGCUCCAGGUUCUGUCCCGGUUGCUUCUCUUCCAGGCCAGCUCUCUGCUGUGGUCCCGGAGCGCAGUGGAGGAUGGCCCAAGUGCUUGGGUCCUGCACCCGCAUGGGAGACCAGGAGGAAGCACCUGGCUCCUGGCUUCGGAUCGGCGCAGCGCGCCCGCUGUAGCAGCCAUUUGGGGGGUGAACCAACAGAAGGAAGACCUUUCUCUCUGUCUCUCUCAUUGUCUUUAACUCUGUCAAAUAAAAAAAAGAUUUAAAAAAAUAAAUAAAAAGUUUCUGUGAUGGGCAAUUUCCAACAAGCCUUUCAACAAUCUCUUCUUCUGGUAUAUAGCCUUCCCUUGCGUAUGGGGUGGGUCAGUGACUUGUACUAAACAGUUAAUAUGACAAACGUGAUGGGAUGUUACUUCCACAACUAUAUAUAAUUUCUAUUCUGGUGCUCUCUCUCAUUGUGAUGAAGCCAGCCACCAUGCUGGGGGCUGGCCUAUGGAGCAGCCCAUGUGGUAAGGAACAAGGGAGGUGUGUUAGUCAAUUUCUCAUUACUUUACCUGAAAUUCUGGAAGGAGAAACUCAAAAAGGAAUAUUGCUUAUUUCAGCUUACAGUUUGAAGGUUCACAGUCUGAGAUUGGGUGGCCCCAUGAGAAUGGCAGCUGGACAUGGCAGAACAUGUGUGGAGGAGCACAAGGUGAGCCAGGAAGCAGAGAGAUAUGGAGAGUACAUUCUUCCCUUACAACAAUGUGUCACCCUUUAUAUAGCCACAAUAAUUCCAUCACUGGUCUCCACUCCCACAACCUAAUCCUAUCUAAUCACUUUCCAAAGCUCUAUAUUCAAACAUUGCAAUUUGAUUAUGUUCCAACAUUAAUGCAUUAACAUAUGACUCUGGAAACCAAGAUUUUAACACACGGGCCUUUGGGAGACACUAAAGUUACUUUUCAAACCAGAACAGGAGGCCUCCAGCUAAAAUCUUACAACAUCUCACUGAAAGAACACUCAAGGAACUGAAUUCAUCAGAAAGCCACAUGAGUGUACCUGUUGAGCCUUUAGCUGAGACCUCAGCCCCAGCCAAUACCUUGAUGGCAGCCUGUGAGUGCUCCUGGGCCAAGGGCACCCAAUUAAGCUGUGCCAGAUUCCUAACCCACACAAAAAUAUGAGACAAUAAAUGUGUACCCUUUUAAUUUGCUGUGCUAGGGAGUUAAUUUAUUAU